rnacentral:rRNA from 1 species
UACGUAGGGCGCAAGCGUUAUCCGGAAUUAUUGGGCGUAAAGAGCUCGUAGGCGGUUUGUCGCGUCUGCCGUGAAAGUCCGGGGCUCAACUCCGGAUCUGCGGUGGGUACGGGCAGACUAGAGUGAUGUAGGGGAGAUUGGAAUCCUGGUGUAGCGGUGGAAUGCGCAGAUAUCAGGAGGAACACCAAUGGCGAAGGCAGAUCUCUGGGCCGUAACUGACGCUGAGGAGCGAAAGCAUGGGGAGCGAACAGG